GUCUGUGGUUCAUGACUGUUGCAGUCGGGGAUACGCACGCAUUAGCGCUCAUCAUGCCUGUUCGAGCUGAGUGCUGCAGCAGUGCGGCCCGUACAUCCUCGGCUCUCUUAUCCCUCCUCCGCCGAUCAACACGCACCAGCCAGGGGUAGCUACUUCGCUGCUGUACAGCGGUUCACAGUUUCGAGGACAUCAGAAGAGCAAAGAAACUCGUAUGAUGUGGAGGUCGUUUUGCAGCAUGUGACCAUGGAGGACUCUUAUCUGUGUGGUUACCUGAAGAUCAAAGGCCUAACUGAGGAGUAUCCCACUCUUACAACGUUCUUCGCAGGAGAGAUCAUCAGUAGAAAGAGGCCCUUUUUAACCAGGAAGUGGGACGCCGACGAAGAUGUGGACCGCAAGCACUGGGGUAAGUUUCAGGCUUUUUAUCAGUAUGCAAAGAGCUUCAACUUGGACGACUUUGAUUACGAAGAGCUGAAGAACAGUGACUUUGUCUUUAUGAGGUGGAAGGAGCAGUUCCUGGUCCCGGACCACACCAUUAAAGACAUCAGUGGGGCGUCCUUCGCUGGUUUCUACUAUAUCUGCUUCCAGAAGUCCACAGCCACCAUUGAAGGCUACUACUACCACAGAAGCUCUGAAUGGUACCAGUCGUUAAACCUCACCCAUGUCCAGGAACACAGUAUGCCCAUCUACGAGUUCCGGUGAUACCCGCCUGCUGGCAGAGGACUUUGAUUGGCACUGCCCUAGAGACUUGCUCAUGGAGGGGAGAUGAACUGACCAAUCAUGCCAAGGAUGUACCUAUCAGUAUUCCCUGGCGAAAGGGAGAGAACAAUGGAAGGAGGGAGGGAUAGACAAAGAACAAGGCCACCGACCGACAGUUUUUCCCAGCCUGCCUUUCUCGACUUUGCAUCAGCUGGGAUCAACAGCACUUUUUCUUUGGUUGUUUUCUCUUCCCCACUCUUUCUCCAUUCAGCUUCCUGUUUCUGAAGCUACUUUUCCUCUUUCCACCAUGUUGAAAAUGCUUUCCACUUUUCAGUUGGGAAUCCCCCCCAGCCCCUCUGAAAAUGGGUCCCCCAGCAGUCUAAGAUUUAAGUACAAAGUUUGAUAUUGCAUUUUAAUUUGUCUCAAUGAAUUGAGGCCUGAUUGAGAUUGACCGAGCUACAGAGUGGGCAAGCAAUCCUGAAAAGAUGGAUCUCCAUAAGGUAUUGAGGUGUGACAUCAUCAAGGGUGUGCUCAACAGAAGAUUGAUGGUCAAUGAUCUGCCAUGAUGCAAGAUUUGACGGCUUAGGCGGAUGACGUCUUGGUGAAGGUUGAUAUUUGAAGGCAGGGCAUAAUCAGAUGUGUGUUGUGGGCUAUUGAAACACAUACCACACCGAUGGCUACUUUAAAUCUGUCCUCUCUCUGAGAUGGUGGAGUCGACAUCGUCUGACCUAUAGAGGGAGUCCCCAGCCCUAGUUCAUAUUGGCAGGCUGCUGUUACUGCUGCUUUUUGAAAAGCCUCUCCUACCGUUCCCUGCCUCAACCAAGUGAACUGAUAAAGUGAUUUACGCUUCACUCAUUUUUCUAUGCAAUUUACAAAAAAAAUCUUAUCCGGCGCUUACCUACUUUCCAUUUUAUUUUCAGAAAGGACUUUUAAAGUAUUAUGAUGAUGUACGUGAGUGAUCACACGGCCACCAGAGUAUUUAUUGAAAAUGAAUAUUGUUAAUUUACACGUGUAUAGAUAUAUAAUAAAGAGUUUUUAUUCACCAGGCUUUUAAACUGCGUUGACACAGCUAUUUGAGGGUAAUGCUCUGGUGUCUUGAGUUAUGUGUGGUGGCUCUGAAGUACUGGUGGAAGAGAGUGUGUCGUGCAGAUUGAGCUUGGGCUGCAUUUAGACAGAUCAGAAUUGGCCUGCCUGUUUUUCACAUUGCUAUUUGGACCAAUCAGAUCUUUUUCAGAGCUGAUCUGGUCAAAAGAAAAAUUUAGUGAAAAAUAUCAAGGAUUUGGCUGCCUGUCUAAACGCAGCCCAUGAGUUGUCUGUGUGGUGACGCUAAUGCUAGAGCGCUACAAAUCAGUGUGUGCAGUGGACUAAAUGCCAUGGGACAGAUGAGAGUGAGCUAGUAUAGAGUUUUGGCUGGAUGAAAAGAUGAGGUAUAGAAAUACAAUGAUUAGAAUGGGCACAUGUAAGAUGUUGAUGACCAAACAAGAUAUGGAUUUUGUGUUGGUACUGUGCAGUAUGCUGCGUUUCGACCUGACUCAACACAUGUACAGUAUUGCUGACAGUCAAUGAUUUUUUUUUAUGAGGUCGACCCAUUCUGUUCAUUUUAUUUCUACGUUUCUGAUGUAUUGAAUGUGGCAGGCAGCUAACUGAGCUGUCUCCUCUGCGUUCUUCACUUUGCCCCUAAUUAUACCAACGCACAACCGAUGUGUCUCUCUCUCCUGUAUCAUUCUGACGUCUUUUCCAUUCACAGAAUGAGAAAUAGUGGCGUUGUUACAAAACCUUGAUGACAUGUGAAGAGAUGUGUUUUCUUGGAGAGUAUAAAAUAAACUGACAAGAACAUCUCUAGUCAAAAGCUUUUGAAAAAC